rnacentral:rRNA from 1 species
CCCUUAGAUGUUCUGGGCUGCACACGCACUACACUGGCAGGUUCAGCGAGCUUCUUGCCCUGAUCUGAGAAGAAUGGGAAACCUUUUCAACACCUGCCGUGCUUGGGAUAGAUGUUUGCAAUUAUUCAUCUUCAACAAGGAUUGCCUUGUAGGCGUGCCUCAUCAGGGCACAUCGAAUACGACCCUGUAUUCUGUACACACCGCCCGUCGCUCCUACCGAUUGAAUGAUUUAGUGAGGACUUCGGACUGGGACCGAUGCGGCUUUCGGGCUGCGUCGGUAUUCUGGAAAGAUGUCCAAACUGUAUCAUUUAGAGGAAGUAAAAGUCGUANCA